rnacentral:rRNA from 1 species
CGGGACUAUCUCGGAAGAAGUUUUCGGAUGGAUUUUGGGGUAGCCUAUUGGCGGACGGGUGAGUAACACGUGAGCAACCUGCCUUUGAGAGGGGAAUAACGGCUGGAAACGGUCGCUAAUACCGCAUAACGUACGGAUGGGACAUCCUGUCUGUACCAAAGAUUUAUCGCUCGAAGAUGGGCUCGCGUCCGAUUAGGUAGUUGGUGAGGUAACGGCCCACCAAGCCGACGAUCGGUAGCCGGACUGAGAGGUUGAACGGCCACAUUGGGACUGAGACACGGCCCAGACUCCUACGGGAGGCAGCAGUGGGGGAUAUUGCACAAUGGGGGAAACCCUGAUGCAGCGACGCCGCGUGUGGGAAGACGGUCUUCUGGAUUGUAAACCACUGUCCCCAGGGACGAAAAUGACGGUACCUGGGGAGGAAGCUCCGGCUAACUACGUGCCAGCAGCCGCGGUAUACGUAGGGAGCAAGCGUUGUCCGGAAUUACUGGGUGUAAAGGGAGCGUAGGCGGGGAUGCAAGUUGGGUGUCAAAACUACCGGCUCAACCGAUAGUCGCACUCAAAACUGCAGCUCUUGAGUGAAGUAGAGGCAGGCGGAAUUCCUAGUGUAGCGGUGAAAUGCGUAGAUAUUAGGAGGAACACCUGUGGCGAAGGCGGCCUGCUGGGCUUUUACUGACGCUGAGGCUCGAAAGUGUGGGGAGCAAACAGGAUUAGAUACCCUGGUAGUCCACACCGUAAACGAUGAUUACUAGGUGUGGGGGGUCUGACCCCCUCCGUGCCGGAGCAAACGCAAUAAGUAAUCCACCUGG